CUUACCGGAGGCUAUAUGGAUCCCGAUCCCACCCCUCUCCCGAGACGGAGAAACAACCCUUUCCGGUAAGCCUGUCUUUCACUGUCUUACCGGAUGCGUAAGACAGUGACGUUCU
rfam:Escherichia coli ISC11, WGS project CBWP01000000 data, contig: c23